UGGAUCCAGACUUUGAUUAUGGCUCAGGAUGAACGCUGGCGGCGUGCUUAACACAUGCAAGUCGAACGAAGCACUUUAUUUGAUUUCCUUCGGGAUUGAUUAUUUUGUGACUGAGUGGCGGACGGGUGAGUAACGCGUGGGUAACCUGCCUUGUACAGGGGGAUAACAGUUGGAAACGGCUGCUAAUACCGCAUAAGCGCACAGCAUCGCAUGAUGCAGUGUGAAAAACUCCGGUGGUAUAAGAUGGACCCGCGUUGGAUUAGCUAGUUGGUGAGGUAACGGCCCACCAAGGCGACGAUCCAUAGCCGACCUGAGAGGGUGACCGGCCACAUUGGGACUGAGACACGGCCCAAACUCCUACGGGAGGCAGCAGUGGGGAAUAUUGCACAAUGGGCGAAAGCCUGAUGCAGCGACGCCGCGUGAGCGAAGAAGUAUUUCGGUAUGUAAAGCUCUAUCAGCAGGGAAGAUAAUGACGGUACCUGACUAAGAAGCACCGGCUAAAUACGUGCCAGCAGCCGCGGUAAUACGUAUGGUGCAAGCGUUAUCCGGAUUUACUGGGUGUAAAGGGAGCGCAGGCGGUGCGGCAAGUCUGAUGUGAAAGCCCGGGGCUCAACCCCGGUACUGCAUUGGAAACUGUCGUACUAGAGUGUCGGAGGGGUAAGCGGAAUUCCUAGUGUAGCGGUGAAAUGCGUAGAUAUUAGGAGGAACACCAGUGGCGAAGGCGGCUUACUGGACGAUAACUGACGCUGAGGCUCGAAAGCGUGGGGAGCAAACAGGAUUAGAUACCCUGGUAGUCCACGCUGUAAACGAUGAAUACUAGGUGUUGGGAAGCAUUGCUUCUCGGUGCCGUCGCAAACGCAGUAAGUAUUCCACCUGGGGAGUACGUUCGCAAGAAUGCAACUCAAAGGAAUUGACGGA
rnacentral:rRNA from 1 species